UACGUAGGUGGCAAGCGUUGUUCGGAAUUAUUGGGCGUAAAGGGUGCGUAGGCGGUCGGGUAAGUCGGAUGUGAAAUCUCAGGGCUCAACCCUGAAACUGCAUUCGAUACUGCUUGGCUAGGGUACUGGAGAGGAGACUGGAAUUUACGGUGUAGCAGUGAAAUGCGUAGAUAUCGUAAGGAAGACCAGUGGCGAAGGCGAGUCUCUGGACAGUUACCGACGCUGAGGCACGAAGGCCAGGGGAGCAAACGGG
rnacentral:rRNA from 1 species